rnacentral:pre_miRNA from 1 species
GUGCUACUCUUUCCGUUCCAUAAUUUUUGUCGAAAUAUUACAUGUAUCUAGACACUUUUUAGGAAUAAAUACAUCCAUAUUUAGAUAGAUUUGAGACAAGAAUUAUGGAACGGAGGGAGUAUUAG